rnacentral:rRNA from 1 species
GACAGAGGUGCCGAGCGUUAGGCGGAAUCACUGGGCUUAAAGCGUGUGUAGGCGGGUCCGUAAGUACCUUGUGAAAUCCCACGGCUCAACCGUGGAACUGCUUGGUAUACUGGGUCGCUUGAGUCAUCCAGGGGCAACUGGAACAAGCGGUGGAGCGGUGAAAUGCGUAGAUAUCGCUUGGAACGCCAAAGGUGAAAACAGGUUGCUGGGGAUGUUCUGACACUGAGACGCGAAAGCCAGGGGAGCGAACGGG